UACGAAUGGGGCAAGCGUUGUUCGGAAUUACUGGGCGUAAAGCGCACGUAGGCGGAUUAGUAAGUCAGGGGUGAAAUCCCGGGGCUCAACCUCGGAACUGCCUUUGAUACUGCUGAUCUCGAGUCCGGAAGAGGUGAGUGGAAUUCCUAGUGUAGAGGUGAAAUUCGUAGAUAUUAGGAAGAACACCAGUGGCGAAGGCGGCUCACUGGUCCGGUACUGACGCUGAGGUGCGAAAGCGUGGGGAGCAAACAAG
rnacentral:rRNA from 1 species